GACACACUUCCGGCUAAGUACGGGCGUAAUAAUGGUGAUUAAAACUGUUCACCGUUCCUUUGAGUUCCUCGUAGAUUCUGGAUAUUAGUCCUUUGUUGGAGGUAUAGAUUGUGAAGAUUUUCUCCAAUUCAUCGCCGUUUUUUAGAGUUUUUCUCACUAAAUAUUGACUAACGGAACCUAGCCCUGUAAUGUUGAUAGUCGGGCGGGUCGGAAGUGGCUGAGGUGGAGUAUCUGCAGGAGAAGAACUGAGGCUCCUAAGUGCAGCAUCUUGUCCAAGAGGUUUCGUCCCAAUGCGUGGGGAACAUCCGGAUUGUGAUGUUUAGCUCUCAGUUUCUAACUUGGGCAUUCUAGCAACUGUAUUUCUCAUUUAAUGUUUUAUGGGCACACAUGCAGAGGAGUUUUCGUCACUGAAAAGCCCGACAACUUCCCCUGCCAACCCAUUGGAAUUAAAAAAACCUCGAUAACCUCUUAAACACAUGGAAAUGGAACCCUGAGCAGAGGUAAAAGCCUAGCAGUGAUCACUCUUUUGGCGACUUGGAAAUCGGGGUGAGCUUUUAUCCGUUACCUGUGCCCUGUUGUUAGGGGUCGACUGCUGCUGUUCUUCCUUGGAAACUGGCUCCACUGCAUUUCGGGGCUGGGAUGUUGUUAAAGCAUUCACAGCCCUCAGAGCACAUGACGAGGGAGUUGGGAAAUGAAGCAAGCAGGACCUUCCACUUUGUAGCAGACUUAUUUCUGGAGAAACUGAUGGUUGGGGCCACAAAACGCUUUCAGUGUAGGCUCAUCAUGACUCAUUUGGACAUCCUAUUUUCUCUCCUUAUGUAUGAGAUUGUGGUGGGUAUCUGUACAGCCUAAGGACCUUGGGUGGACCUGGCCAGCAAUGGGACUGUUACUGAUGAUGCAUCACAUGGUGUCACUAGGAAAAGCAUAGAUCAGCUGAGGAUCAAUCUUCCCACCAGGUGUGUGUGAAAAUGUAGGUUAUGUGCUUCCUUCAGCCCCAAACCUGUUGUCCACACCAGAAUCUGGAAAUAAUCUCAUUGGAAUUGGGAGAAUGAUUGAUGAUACUCAGUGAAUUCACUCCUUACCUAGAAGUAAAAAAAGAGGACACACUUUUGAACCGCUCACAUGACCACACCAUUCUGCGGGGACGUCCUUGUGUUGAGGGGAGGUCUGAAGUCCAUGGAAGAAGACGCAGUGGCUGCUGGAGCUCGUGCAGAGGAAGGGACCCUCAGAAGGACAGGUGAACUGUCGGUGGCAGGAAAAAUGGUGGGCACAUUUCCAGAAUGACAAAUGGGAGAAGCAAUCGUGACAUCUCCAGGUGGGGGAAGCAUAGGAGGAAGAGGUUGUUCUCUCAGGAAGUUGCCUCCUAGCCUCCAACGAGGCCUUUCCUAUCACUGCUCAUUCUCUUCUGUGUGUGGAUUGGAUACUGCGGUCACCCAGAGAAGCUGGUGCACACCAGGCACAUGAAGGGGCGAUCCUUGUCUCCUUCCGACUCAUGCGCGUGUCUUGAUGUUUAAACUCAGAAGGAUGUUUAAACUCGGUUGUCUAUGAGACAAAAUGGCUAGUUUUUGGAGGGUCUGGGGCAUUACAUUCUGCAGAUUAAGAUUUUUGCCCGAUAUUGGCCAAGUCAAGGAAAUAGAUGCUAAGGCCAAAUGCUUUGAAAAACCACAAACUCCUGUUUCUGUGGGAAAUGUUUGGCCUGUUGAAUCAAACUCAAUAAAGAACAGUAAAAUCUGUUAUUUCAAAAAUUUUUGCUUUUGUAGCUGGUUAGUUGCCUUUCUUUGGAAAACCCUGUACAAUUCCUACAUGAAAUGUAUUCCUAUUGGAAAGAGGUUUUGCCACAAUGAAUUUCAAACUCUAUACAACAAAUUGGUUUAUUCUACAGGAAUUUCAAUAAAAAAGGUUUUUUUGUCCCUU
ensembl:lncRNA novel transcript